GGGGCUGUAGCUCAGUUGGGAGAGCGCAUGACUGGCAGUCAUGAGGUCAGGGGUUCGAUCCCCCUCAGCUCCA
rnacentral:tRNA from 1 species